rnacentral:rRNA from 1 species
UACAGAGGGUGCGAGCGUUUAAUCGGAAUUACUGGGCGUAAAGGGUUCGUAGGUGGCUUGCUAAGUCAGACGUGAAAUCCCUCGGCUUAACCGGGGAACGGGCGUCUGAUACUGGAUGGCUUGAGUUCGGGAGAGGGAUGCGGAAUUCCAGGUGUAGCGGUGAAAUGCGUAGAUAUCUGGAGGAACACCGGUGGCGAAGGCGGCAUCCUGGACCGAGACUGACACUGAGGAGCAGAAGCAGGGGAGCAAACGGG